rnacentral:rRNA from 1 species
GUAACGCGUGGGUGACCUGCCCCAUACCGGGGGAUAACAGCUGGAAACGGCUGCUAAUACCGCAUAAGCGCACAGAGCUGCAUGGCUCAGUGUGAAAAACUCCGGUGGUAUGGGAUGGGCCCGCGUCUGAUUAGGCAGUUGGCGGGGUAACGGCCCACCAAACCGACGAUCAGUAGCCGGCCUGAGAGGGCGACCGGCCACAUUGGGACUGAGACACGGCCCAAACUCCUACGGGAGGCAGCAUG